rnacentral:rRNA from 1 species
CUGGGGUAAUUCCGGAUAACGCAUAUUUGCUGGAAUGCUUUAUGCGUCAAAAGGAUUCGUCUGCCCAAGGAUGGGUCUGCGGCCUAUCAGGUAGUAGUGGGUGUAAUGUACCUACUAGCCAGCGACGGGUACGGGUUGUGAGAGCAAGAGCCCGGAGAUGGAUUCUGAGACAUGAAUCCAGGCCCUACGGGGCGCAGCAGGCGCGAAAACUUUACAAUGCGGGAAACCGUGAUAAGGGGACACCGAGUGCCAGCAUCAUAUGCUGGCUGUCCGGAUGUGUAAAAUACAUCCGUUAGCAAGGGCCGGGCAAGACCGGUGCCAGCCGCCGCGGUAACACCGGCGGCCCGAGUGGUGAUCGUGAUUAUUGGGUCUAAAGGGUCCGUAGCCGGUUUGGUCAGUCCUCCGGGAAAUCUGAUAGCUCAACUAUUAGGCUUUCGGGGGAUACUGCCAGACUUGGAACCGGGAGAGGUAAGAGGUACUACAGGGGUAGGAGUGAAAUCUUGUAAUCCCUGUGGGACCACCUGUGGCGAAGGCGUCUUACCAGAACGGGUUCGACGGUGAGGGACGAAAGCUGGGGGCACGAACCGGAUUAGAUACCCGGGUAGUCCCAGCCGUAAACGAUGCUCGCUAGGUGUCAGGCAUGGCGCGACCGUGUCUGGUGCCGCAGGGAAGCCGUGAAGCGAGCCACCUGGGAAGUACGGCCGCAAGGCUGAAACUUAAAGGAAUUGGCGGGGGAGCACAACAACGGGUGGAGCCUGCGGUUUAAUUGGACUCAACGCCGGACAACUCACCGGGGGCGACAGCAAUAUGUAGGCCAAGCUGAAGACUUUGCCUGAAUCGCUGAGAGGAGGUGCAUGGCCGUCGCCAGUUCGUACUGUGAAGCAUCCUGUUAAGUCAGCAACGAG